rnacentral:misc_RNA from 1 species
UAUCGUUCUCAAUCUUCAAGGGUUGUUAAGACUUUUGAAGCUUUUGGAUAUGGGGGAUUUUGCUGGCAAAAUUGCUGGCUCCUCUUAAAUGCAUCAGUGGAGAACAAUUUGUUCUUGGCUCUGGUUUGAUAAGUCUAAUAUCUAUGCCAUUGCUUCGACAGCUUUUCCCAUGGUUUUCUUGUUUGUCUUAUUCAGACAACUCGUGAAA